AUUUAUAUCCGUAUAUCGUGGGGGGGGGCAUCCCAGUGUGACCCCAGUGGGUGAAUGUCACCUGCCGGUGACACCCAGGCCCCACUGGUCCCAUCCCGGUAUGGUGCUGGUGCCCCAAAUGGACCCAAGUGCCCCAUCCCCAGUAUCACUCCAGUUGUCAAAUGUCCCAUCCCAGUAUCACCCCAGUCUCCAGUUGUCCCUUCCCAGUAUCCCCCCAGUCUGCAAAUGUCCCAUCCCAGUAUGACCCCAGUCCCCAAAUGUCCCAUCCCAGUACCACCCAGUCCCCACUGGUCCCAUCCCAGUAUCACUCCAGUCCCAAAUGUCCCCUCCCAGUAUGACCCCAGUCCCCAUAGAUCCCAUCCCAGUAUCACCCCAGCCUCCAGUUGUCCCUUCCCAGUAUCCCCCCAUUCUGCAAAUGUCCCGUCCCAGUAUCACCCUAGCCCCCCAACAUCCCAUCCCAGUACCCCCCCAGUCCCCAAAUGUCCCCUCCCAGUACCACCCAGUCCCCACAGAUCCCAUCCCAGUACCAAGCCAGUGGCCCAAAUGGACCCAAAGGCCCCAUCCCAGUAUCACUCCAGUGCCCCCAUG
rnacentral:lncRNA from 1 species